rnacentral:lncRNA from 1 species
UUCCCUUAUCAACAAUCUCAACAACAAUCCUCUUGAUUGUAGGUAGAUAUUGAUCCUUAUAGAGUACAUCUCAAGUGCAGAAUAUGAUUAGCAAUGUGUAAGAACAGCUAUCUUGCAAAAAUCUUGAUGAAUUUCCUUCCAAAUGAAUAAUUUUGAUUCUCCAAGAAGUCUAGGAUGCUCCUGCAAUCAAUACUUAGUAAACAAGUCAAUUAUGAAUGUGUAAGAUCAUUAAUUCUUAUUAAGCAGCGCAUAAUGCGUCUAUUUAUAGAGUUAUCUCGCGCUGACGCAAUGUAAUCGAUUAAGCACAUAAUAUAAUCUGUUAAGUUUUUCCUUCUGCUUUA